UAAAUACUUCCUCCAUCUUAAAAUAUUUGUCAUCAAAAUAAAUAAAAGAAAAUGUACCUAGACGUAUUUUAGUUCUAGAUACACCCUUCUUUAUUCAUUUUGGUGACAUGUAUUUUUGAACGAAGGAAGUACAAG
rfam:Triticum aestivum genome assembly, contig: Triticum_aestivum_CS42_TGACv1_scaffold_291033_4AL